GUGAGGGAGGCUGCGAAAUCCGUUUCUAGUCGUCUCUGAUUCCGCGGAGCAGAUACCAUGAGCAAAGCUCACACUCCCGAGUUGAAAAAAUUUAUGGACAAGAAGUUGUCAUCGAAAUUAAAUGGUGGCAGACAUAUCCAAGGAAUAUUACGGGGAUCUGAUCCCUUUAUGAAUCUUGUGAUAGAUGAAUGUGUGGAGAUGGCAACUAGUGGGCAACAGAACAAUAUCGGAACGGUGGUAAUACGAGGAAAUAGUAUCAUCAUGUUAGAAGCCUUGGAACGAGUAUAAAUAAUGGCUGUUGAGCAGAGAAAUCCAUGUCCCCUCCGCAAAGGGCCUGUUUUACUAUGAUGUCAAAAUCAGGUCAUGUACAUUUUCAUAUUAAAUUUUUUGUUAAAUAAACUUUUGUAAUA